rnacentral:rRNA from 1 species
GAUGAACGCUGGCGGCGUGCCUAAUACAUGCAAGUCGAGCGAACGGACGAGAAGCUUGCUUCUCUGAUGUUAGCGGCGGACGGGUGAGUAACACGUGGAUAACCUACCUAUAAGACUGGGAUAACUUCGGGAAACCGGAGCUAAUACCGGAUAAUAUUUUGAACCGCAUGGUUCAAAAGUGAAAGACGGUCUUGCUGUCACUUAUAGAUGGAUCCGCGCUGCAUUAGCUAGUUGGUAAGGUAACGGCUAACCAAGGCAACGAUGCAUAACCGACCUGAGAGGGGGAUAGCCGGCGCGGGAACUGGAACACGGUCCAGACUCCUACGGGAGGCAGCAGUAGGGGAUCUUCCGCAAUGGGCGAAAGCCUGACGGAGCAACGCCGCGUGAGAGAUGAAGGUCUUCGGAUCGUGAAACUCUGUUAUUAGGGGAGAACAUAUGUGUAAGUAACUGUGCACAUCUUGACGGUACCUAAUCAGAAAGCCACGGCUAACUACGUG